UACAGAGGUCUCAAGCGUUGUUCGGAUUCAUUGGGCGUAAAGGGUGCGUAGGUGGCGGGGUUAGUCAGGUGUGAAAUCUCGAGGCUCAACCUUGAAACUGCACUUGAUACUGCCUUGCUCGAGUACUGGAGAGGAGAUUGGAAUUUACGGUGUAGCAGUGAAAUGCGUAGAUAUCGUAAGGAAGACCAGUGGCGAAGGCGAAUCUCUGGACAGUUACUGACACUGAGGCACGAAGGCCAGGGGAGCAAACGGG
rnacentral:rRNA from 1 species